rnacentral:rRNA from 1 species
CCUACGGGGUGCAGCAGUGGGGAAUAUUGGACAAUGGGCGAAAGCCUGAUCCAGCCAUGCCGCGUGUGUGAAGAAGGCCUUCGGGUUGUAAAGCACUUUCAGUGGGGAAGAAAGCCUUGGGGCUAAUACCCUCGAGGAAGGACAUCACCCACAGAAGAAGCACCGGCUAACUCCGUGCCAGCAGCCGCGGUAAUACGUAGGGUGCGAGCGUUAAUCGGAAUUACUGGGCGUAAAGCGCGCGUAGGCGGUCUGAUAAGCCGGUUGUGAAAGCCCCGGGCUCAACCUGGGAACGGCAUCCGGAACUGUCAGGCUAGAGUGCAGGAGAGGAAGGUAGAAUUCCCGGUGUAGCGGUGAAAUGCGUAGAGAUCGGGAGGAAUACCAGUGGCGAAGGCGGCCUUCUGGACUGACACUGACGCUGAGGUGCGAAAGCGUGGGUAGCAAACAGGAUUAGAUACCCGGGUAGUC